CAGAUCCUUGAUGACAAUUGGCACACUACCUCCCCUGUCACAACUGGAGCAUGGUCCAAAAUCGCAAAUAAAAGGGCAAAUUUCUGAGAAGGAAGAAGAGAAGCAAUAUAUAUAUAUACAGAAAUAUAUACCAAAGCCAUUUAAACCUGAAUCUGGUAACUCAUC